AGCGAACGCUGGCGGCAGGCUUAACACAUGCAAGUCGAGCGGGCACUUCGGUGUCAGCGGCAGACGGGUGAGUAACACGUGGGAACGUACCCUUUGGUUCGGAAUAACGCUGGGAAACUAGCGCUAAUACCGGAUACGCCCUUUUGGGGAAAGGCUUGCUGCCGAAGGAUCGGCCCGCGUCUGAUUAGCUAGUUGGUGGGGUAAUGGCCUACCAAGGCGACGAUCAGUAGCUGGUCUGAGAGGAUGAUCAGCCACACUGGGACUGAGACACGGCCCAGACUCCUACAGGAGGCAGCAGAGGGGAAUAUUGGACAAUGGGCGCAAGCCUGAUCCAGCCACGCCGCGUGAGUGAUGAAGGCCUUAGGGUUGUAAAGCUCUUUUGUCCGGGACGAUAAUGACGGUACCGGAAGAAUAAGCCCCGGCUAACUUCGUG
rnacentral:rRNA from 1 species